AUUGAACGCUGGCGGCAGGCCUAACAAAUGCAAGUCGAACGGAGCGGAGGACGGGUGAGUAAUGCCUAGGAAUCUGCAUGGUAGUGGGGGAUAACGGCCGGAAACGGGCGCUAAUACCGCAUACUAUCAGAAGACCCUAGGUCGGAUACGCUAGUUGGUGGGGUAAAGGCCUACCAAGGCGAGGAUCCGUACCGGGUCUGAGAGGAUGAUCAGUCACACGGGACCGGAGACCCGGUCCAGACUCUUACGGGAGGCAGCAGGGGGGAAUAUUGGACAAUGGGCGAAAGCCUGAUCCAGCCAUGCCGCGUGUGGGAAGAAGGUCUUCGGAUUGUAAAGCACUUUAAUUUGGGAGGCGUUACCAACAGAAUAAGCACCGGCUAACUUCGUGCCAGCAGCCGCGGUAAUAC
rnacentral:rRNA from 1 species